rnacentral:rRNA from 1 species
GAAUAUUGGACAAUGGGGGCAACCCUGAUCCAGCAAUGCCGCGUGAGUGAUGAAGGCCUUCGGGUUGUAAAGCUCUUUUGCCAGGGACGAUGAUGACGGUACCUGGAGAAUAAGCCCCGGCUAACUUCGUGCCAGCAGCCGCGGUAAUACGAAGGGGGCAAGCGUUGUUCGGAAUUACUGGGCGUAAAGGGCUCGUAGGCGGCCAACUAAGUCGGAUGUGAAAUCCCCAGGCUCAACCUGGGAACUGCAUCCGAUACUGGAUGGCUUGAAUCCGGGAGAGGGAUGCAGAAUUCCAGGUGUAGCGGUGAAAUGCGUAGAUAUCUGGAGGAAUACCGGUGGCGAAGGCGGCAUCCUGGACCGGCAUUGACGCUGAGGAGCGAAAGCCAGGGGAGCAAACGGG